UGCCUAGCAACUUCUAUCCCUACCUCCUCGUGGUACUGGCCGGGGUACGAGUAACCUUAAGGAAGAUCGGGUAGCCUAGCCCAGUGGUCGUAUGCUGACAGGGAAGG
rnacentral:ribozyme from 1 species